rnacentral:rRNA from 1 species
GAUGAACGCUGGCGGCGUGCCUAAUACAUGCAAGUCGAGCGAACAGACGAGGAGCUUGCUCCUCUGACGUUAGCGGCGGACGGGUGAGUAACACGUGGAUAACCUACCUAUAAGACUGGGAUAACUUCGGGAAACCGGAGAUAAUACCGGAUAAUAUAUUGAACCGCAUGGUUCAAUAGUGAAAGACGGUUUUGCUGUCACUUAUAGAUGGAUCCGCGCCGCAUUAGCUAGUUGGUAAGGUAACGGCUUACCAAGGCAACGAUGCGUAGCCGACCUGAGAGGGUGAUCGGCCACACUGGAACUGAGACACGGUCCAGACUCCUACGGGAGGCAGCAGUAGGGAAUCUUCCGCAAUGGGCGAAAGCCUGACGGAGCAACGCCGCGUGAGUGAUGAAGGUCUUCGGAUCGUAAAACUCUGUUAUUAGGGAAGAACAAAUGUGUAAGUAACUAUGCGCGUCUUGACGGUACCUAAUCAGAAAGCCACGGCUAACUACGUG